rnacentral:ncRNA from 1 species
CACCUGGUUGAUCCUGCCAGUAGUCAUAUGCUUGUCUCAAAGAUUAAGCCAUGCAUGUCUAAGUAUAAGCUUUAAACGGCGAAACUGCGAAUGGCUCAUUAAAACAGUUAUAGUUUAUUUGGUGAUCGAUUACUAUUUGGAUAACCGUAGUAAUUCUAGAGCUAAUACAUGCGUCAAGGCCCGACUUCGGAAGGGCUGCGUUUAUUAGAUACAGAACCAACCUAGGCUCCGCCUAGUCCUUGUUGGUGAUUCAUAAUAACCCCG